UUUUUAAUUAAAGGUAUUUUAGUCAAUUUACGGACUGCACGAAGUAAAAGAUGAACUGUAUAUAGCAUUGGCCUAAAAAAUCACGUUUCAGCCUCAGCCUAAUCGAUCUUGUUGUUGGCCGGCCCAUCACAAACCAUCUCAGCCCAACGGAUUUUAUUUUUUGUCGGAGUAGACUUUUUAUCGGUCAACACAAGAUAAAAGACAGAAAGUGCUAGAUUCGAAUCUAAGACUUUUGCGUCACCAAACACACAACGCAGCCCAACGGAUCGUGUGACUCAAAGUGGGUCGUAAAAUGGAUUAAAACGCUGAAAAGCCUCGUUAUGCGUCGAAAUGUUUCCACCUCGAAACCAAAGUCGAAACGUAACAACAUACAUCUAAGUUUUUUUGUUAAAGUUGACCGAGACCCCGAUCAAUACAAGAUAGCAGAACUAUGCUAAUUAUAACGUAUUAAAAGUUAAAACUCAAGUGUGCUAACGUCCUAGACAAGGAUAAGCAGAUUGAAUAUAGUGCAAGUAGCAUCACGCCGGAAUAUAGUGCAAGUAGCAUCACGUCGGAAGCCGAGAAACUACAGGAAUGACAAGAAACGACGUAUCCAGGGGGCGGCGAAGACCGGAUGGAUACGGAAGACUCGACGGGCCAGAAACCGUCCAAAUCCCCGAAGAAGCCCGAGCGUAAUUCUUCAACAAACUCAGCAGCGCGAGUGAAACUGAGGAGCCGGUUCACCGCAUCAGAGCAGAUCCUGUCACCGGCCUGAACACGAGAAACCACCUGGUACUUGUUUAGACCUCUUUGAUGAACAAGUAUCUCAUGAAUCGUGAUUUUCAAGCAGGACAUCGGCUGGAAUAAUUUCCUCCUACAAAAAUUUAUCAGCAAUCGCCUGAGCAAUAAAAUGUGAAGAAGUUUUGCUAUUCUUACAAACUUACAAAGCUCGGAAGAAAUCGUUCCACUCGAACUAAGAUUAAAGCAUAACUGCUUCCAUGAGAAGACAGACAUCCAACUCUCUGCAAAACCAUGGGACACAUUGAACUUAAAGGAUGAACAAGUUGACAGAUAAUGAGAGAACAGCAAAAAGAAAUUAUACUCUUGCCUUUCUGUGAAUCUGUUUCACUAGCUAAUAGCUUGCACGUACCUGCUGCACUAACCGGCAAUUGUUCGGUCUAACAUAGAUACCAUCAGAUUUUAGACCGAACAAUUGCCGGUGUUUCUCCACGAGAGCUUCAAAACUUUUGUGAAGAUCCUGGCCAUGAUUUCCAUGUGUCAAGUUCAGAAGUACACUGAGAAACAUGUAGAACCAGAAAAAAAUUACUACUUUCAAAAUGGAAAUUACAGGGAUGCAAACAUAUAAUAAUCAACUGAGAUGCGGUAGAGCUGGUAAGUGACCUAGGUAACUCAACUUAAGAGGCUGAAGCAUGUUCCCAAGCAAUGAAGUAAAACUUACAUCAGGACUCGGGAGACAUCAUGCUUCAGCAUGAAGCUUGCUAUCUGAAACCUCUAAGCUACCAUAACAAACGUUGAUGAAUCAUUAAUCAUGGAAACAACGUGGGAGGAUUGCUUAGGCUUAGAAAGUUACCAAGAAACGUGAGAAGUUUCACGUCCUGAUUGGCUCCGAAUGACUACAAAGCAAUCACGAUUUUAUAAUCUGAAAAUAUUGAAUUUUGUCCCUAAGUCUCCUAGCAUCUGCUUGAAAGCCAGCAUAUUGGAGACCAUCAAGUACAGCCCGUUUCGCAGCCGGGAGUAUUUUCAUCCCUUUUUUCACACAAGAGAGCAAGAGCUCCGAUGCACAGCCGAACCUUCUAGCCUUGGCAAGAUUAUAAACCAAGGAUGAAUAGGUAAAGGCAUCUCUCACAUCCAUCGAUUCGAACAUUUUCAUACCAAGCUCAUAAUUGCCAACUUUAGUUAAUCUGUCAAUAACAGAGUUUGUAGCAGCUAACGUGGAAUCAAAACCCAUCAUAUUCAUACGCUGCAGGUGUCGUUGAGCUUCCUCAAUUUGACCUGCCUUACACAAUCCAUCCACAAUUAUAGUAUGUGUGUAUUUAUCACAUUCCAAACCACUCUUUUCGAUUUGGUCAAUCAAAUUAUAAACAUCUUCAACCUUUCCUUCUUUACAUGAGAGAUUCAGUAGUGUAUUAUAUGACACUAAAUCAAGCUCAACACCAUUCUUUAUCAUCCCUCCCUUCAACCCAGCUGCCUCUUCAACUUUACCAACCUUGAGCAGAGCACCGAGAGCCGUGCAAUACCCAAAGCCAUCAUAAGUAUACCCUUUACUCUUCAUCUCUUCCAACACCCUAAAACCUUGGUUGAAUUUCCUAGACUUAAACCAACAAUUCAUCAUCGUGGUAUAAGUAAUAGCAUUGGCAGCGUGCCCAGAAGCCUCGAAUUCCCGAAUAACCCGUCUAGCAGCUCCCAAUUUCCCAGCUUUACACAACCCAUCAAUGAGAGUAUUAUAAGUAACCACGUCCAGAUCGAAUCCACGUUCCUUCAAACACGAAAAUAAACUAAGCGCCCUGGAAGCAAACCCGUUCUUGCAGAGACCAUUGAUCCAAAUGUUAUAAGUAUCAAGGACAGGUUCUAACCCCAUUGAUUCAAAAAUUGUGCAAAUCUUAUAAGCUUCAUCGGGCGUUUUCUCUUCCAAGCAUCCUCGAAGCUGACGAGAUGACAGUAGGCGUCUAUGAGCGUAUUGUAAGUGACGACAUCGGGAAGCACUCCCAGUCUAAUCCCAUCAUUAAUUACCGUCUCGGCUCGUUUCAAUUGAUUCGUCUUACAGAAGGAACUUACGCAUUCAUUCAGUAGAAAAGUGCGUAAUGCCCACAUAACUCUCCCGAUUCCGACUCACUACCCCGAUUUGAAUUUCGCAUACCCAGAUAGGAGAUUACUCACCUCGCAUACGGCGGCAGCUGGGCAAGUCCGGGGAUUGGAUUCCCAAAUUGAAUAUUCGCGGAGAUUUAAGGAGGAGAAAUCACCCGAUAUAUGAGAAGAAACUUGGAAAUCUCGCGCUUUCCCUCACUCCAAAGCAAAGCAGGUGUUGAAAACUUUGGUGAUGCGCCGCCGAUGCUUGUUCUCCGACGCCGACCUUUGUUUGUGCAAAUGAAGCUUAACGAAAUGAAAACCAAGUUGAUAGGCCCGGCCUAUUUUAAAAUUCGGGCCCGGUGUAACUUAUAAGCAAGCCCAACAACUCCAUUUACUUGAAAAAAAUACAUUGCAAGAUCGUUAACUCAGAGGGGUCCUGCCAAACGGGUGGCAUCGGGAGAAGCAAUCAACCAAAUCGAUUCAUAUACAUCGCGUUUUAAUACUCUUCAAAAACCUGAUAACUCAUGAAAUUUCAGCGACUAGAAACAUGAAUUAAGACUCUUACAAAGAAAAAUGAAAAAUAAAACCGCUAACAUUCAAUUCGAGAAAAAUUAGAUUUGGUUUUUUGCUUAACCAAAUCUAAUUUUUUUGAGAAUUUUAAGUCCAACAUAAUUUGGAUUUAAGUGAAAUUUUUUUGAAUUUAUCACUUUUAAACCUCUUUAAUUAAAGUUGAACGGAUGAAAUUAAAUUAUAUUAACCCACAAAUUCAACGAAAUUUAAAAUGUCAUUUUGUAGUUGUGAAAAAUAUAUUUUAUAAAUUGAUAUGGAAUUGAACCCAAAUUCAACCUUUUUUAUUGCUGAAAACGAAGCCUUGGAGAAAGCUAAAAUUCAAAUUGAUCUACCUCCAAUGGAAUAUUAUUCUAUAAAAAAUUUGAAUCCAAACUCAAACUUCAAAUGAUAAUAUUUCUUAUAUUUGAAAUAAUUCAUUAUCCUAAUUUUGAAAUAUUUAUUUAUAUAAUUCAAUAACAAUUUAUUUUAUAUAAUUCAAUAACCAUUUAUUAGUAAUUCACAAAAUCAAUUAACAAUAUAAUCUCGACAAACUAUUUUAUCACAAUUACUACUGGAUAAUGAAUUCUAUUGUGGCGGCGGCGGCGGCAAGCUUCACAGCGCCGAUAAAAAGCUCCCAAUCGCAGCAAACGACGAGCCACCGUCAACAACAGCCGCCCUGCAGUUUCCUGCCAUCUCUUUCACCUUCUUCCUCACCGCACUCUCCGCCUCCAUCACGCUUCUCACUGCUUUCUCUAUCUCAUCCCCCGCCACAACAAUUUGAUGAUCCCCGUCAAAAUUAAGCCGGUAAUCCAACCUCAACUCAACCGCUACCCCACACUCUCUCACCAACUCCACUGCCAACUCCCUCACCAACUCCACUGCAUUGCUCUGUUGCUCUGCGUACAACGGCCAUGCCACCAUCGGCACCCCGUUCCACACACUCUCCAGCGUCGAGUUCCACCCGCAGUGACUCACGAACCCUCCCACCGCCUUAUGCCCCAACACCUAACAUUCGUGAAGUAGCAUCAAAGCACAGAACAAGAGUGAUUUAAUGAAUUGAGUGAUCAAUUAAAUAGCAGAUCACCUCGGCCUGCGGCGCCCAUCCGCAGAUCAUCCCGGUACCAGCUGUCCUCUCCUGGAAACCUUGUGGCAGUAUCUCCCUGUAGCUUUCAUAAUUGGCCGGAAGAGAGAAUUUUUCCUUCGACGGCGGCUUCCGGAUAGACCAGAGGAACCGGUAGCCACUCUUCUCCAGCCCGGUCGCUAUUUCCUUCAACUGCAUAUCACCGAAGGUUCCCAUGCUCCCAAAGCAGAGGAAGAUUACCGACUGUUCCGGUUGAUCGUCCAGCCAUUUCAUGAUCUCGUCACGCUGACCAGUCUUCCCGAAUCUCGCUUGUCCCUGACCCUUGAGAUCCAGAAGCGGCCCCACUGGAUAAACCGGAGGAGGCAGAGCUCCGCCUGGGACUGGGAGAAGCAGGGAGGUUAGGGAUUUCACGGCGUGAGGCUCCAGCUCGGCGAACGAAUUGACAAUUAUGCCUUAGGUUUCCCAAAACCUCCUGCCGUGGUUUGUCAUCGUGGAGUAGCCGCCGCCGCGAUUGUCCAGGAGGACGGACGGCAGGAAGCGAGAAGGGAUCGGGGUGGCGUAACUCGGGACCGGUACCGACUCGGCUGGAUCGUCCAAUUCGAAACCAGUUCCGACUCGGUCGUGGCGGAUCGGGGGGUAGAGCAUGAAACCUAGAAACGCGAUCGAGGAAGUGAAGAAGAGGAAGGAAGGAAUUCCGAGCUCGUUGGCUACGUCGAUCAUUGAAGUGCAGAACAGAUCGAUUACCAGACCGGCCACGGGACUAUUGAGAAUGAUUGCUUCCUUGACGAGAGGUUUGUGGGACUUAAUUACGGCGGAUAUGACAGCCUCCGGCGAUUAGGGAAGAUCGGGAGCUGAAGGAGAAGGAGGCGGUGAUAGUCGGGGGAGGGUAAGGAAUUUGAUUCGGGUGUCGUCGCCAUCGUUUGUGGAGGAAAUUGAUUGGAUGUAGUUGUCGAUAUGGUCGCCGAACGGCGGGGGGAGUUUGAUUACGAGGACGAGAACGGAGAAAUAGGGGUCGCGACGGAGCAAGCGGCGGGCGAACUGGAUUGUGGAGACGAGGUGGCCGAUUGCCGGGGCAGGAAGGAAAGCUAGUUGAGUUUGCGUCAUGGGGUUAUUGGUGAUCGGAGUUGAUUUUCCGCCGAUGAAGGAUAAUGUUUUUUUUUUAUGUGACGUGGGUGAAGGAUAUUCAAUACUAAAAAGCCCAUUUAACAGGCCGUAAAUGAAUGAGCUUAACGGGUUGAAAUGAGAUGGUUGGGCCCAAGGAAAGAAUGGAGUCAAUUUCAUGAUAAUCGUUUCGUUUCUUCAUGUGUCGGGUCAUCAGUUGACCAUGAUGAUGAUGAUGAUGAUGAUGAUGAUGAUGAUGAUAUUAAAACAGAGUGUUAGCUAGCUACCUUUGGAUUACUUCGUAGCUCAAUCGUACAUUAAAAUAAAACAAACAAGUUUGUCGUUUAUCUACUGCUCCUAACCUAACCAAUCCAUGUGUACUUACGCCAUGUCAGCAACCAUUUACUAUUACAAGCCACGAUGCUUAAUCAAUGGAUCUGUCGGGUUGAGCGUGAGUGAGCGAACUUCCAACCACAUACAUCGGUGAAGUUUUGGAGUUGUCAAUUUGUCUAUGAUUAAUGAAUGAAUUAAACAUAGUCGGAUCAACCUUUUAUCCAACACACACUCAUACUCACUAAUCAUAAUCUAACUCAACCAAUUUAAAGUGGGUGAGUGCGGGUUGAUUAUAUAGUGACUCACUCAAAAGUAGAUGGGUUAGUUUGGGUGUUGGGUUAACCACCAAAACUCAUCCACCACCCAUGUACUUUUAUAUUCACACGAUAAUAUAAUGUUCAUAAUUUUCUGUUAUUCCUAAUCCUAUAUAUGUCAUUCUGUUAGAAAUUCUUUAUUUUUUCUCACUAUCUCAUACAUAAAUCAUUACUAGUUAAAGGCUAUAAAUAACAUCUCCAUAACUUAAAUAGACAUUCUCAACUCUUGGUUUUCAAUAUUUGAAUCAAAAGUUAAGAUAUUAUUCAUUAGAUUGUGACCCUUUCGCCCUCACAUAUCUACCCUCAUUCAUAUCCAAUAAAUAAAUAAGUGCGAAUGAUAGGAACAAUGUUCCAUUAUUUUGAUAGGUAGAUUGGUUUGGACGACAAACGAUCAGAUACUCAUCCAUAUAUUGUGACCUACCUAACUCAUCUAUCAUUUGCCCUCAUCCAUCUACAGCCAUUCAUAUUCAAUGAGUGGACGAGUACGGACGAUAGAUAUAAUAAUCUGCCAUAUUAAUAGGGGGAUUAAUUUUGACGAAAAAUCCAACCCAAUAAUAUAAUUUAAAAAAGGAGGAUAAGUGAAAAACAGAGGAAGACAAAGGGGAAAGAUUGCUUUAACGAAAAUUGCAGAAGGUGGGAUUUAGGAAUAAAAUGUGUAAGCAAUGAGCCAUGUGCAAAUGCAGACAAAUACAGCUACAAACAUCGAAUCUUUCACAUGUUUCUACAUCUAACCCAUUAAAAGAAAGAUAGCAAAUGCAACAUAGAGCCAAAAUGGAGACAUCCCGACAUAACUACCCAACUCUUCAACUCAAAUCCAUCCCCAGCCACAUCCCCAAGAAGCUUUGCUCCCACACCCAAUCCUUUCCUCAUCAGGACUACCCACCUCUCCUACCAAAUCCUUCAACUUACAUUGGACAAAAUAACAGCUGUACGAGUAUAUAUUACAACACAUAUCAAUGUGAACAACAACAAAGACAUCCACGCUAGGAUGAUGAUGAUGAUGAUGUCCAUCACCUCCCAUCGACCGACGUGAAUGACUCGGCGAACCCGUACGGUCUGGUAGGUAUGCUGGUCUGAGUGUUGUCUAAGCUCGGUAGUAGUGAAGAAGACGAUGACUCCAUGUUGCUUCUGCCUUCAUAAGCUUGCCAUUUCUUUAGUGCUUGUGGCAACGACAUGUCUAGAUCGAUCCCGUAGAUGUCCUCUGCGUUCUGGUCGGUCGGUUUCCAUAAUUCCACAAGAGAGGAUAGAACGUUCACUGCGUGGCCCAUGUCUGGCCUUUGGUAUGGCUCUCUUGCGCAGCAGUGACCUGCCAACUCGGCUACCGUGCUGAUGCUGGCGAGGGUUUCCUCCGUUAGGUCGAGAGUCGGGUCAAUGGCCUUUCUGAAUGAGUCCUUGUUGAGGGACAUUCUCUUGAACCAUGUUACUAGAUGCAUGCUCUCCUCUGGCUGGGACUCAUCUAGAGCCUUUCUACCGGUGAUUAGCUCCAUUAGUAUCACACCAUAGCUAAAGACAUCAACUUUGGUCGUCACUCGUCCCGUUACUGCAAUCACAUAACCAAAACAACAUUAGCUUAUCAGUUAUCUAAUUAUCUUAAAACGCUCUGAUAUCAUGUCACUGAACCGUCUCCCAAUAACUCGAGUUAUUUGGGAUGCAACGGUUCAUGACACAUAUAAGCUAAGCAAGUUAUGAGCUUAUAGUUAGUAUGAAAAAUUAUCAGUCAUACAGAAGUAAAAGCAAUUAAGGACAAAGCUUUACCUGCAUAUUCUGGUGCUAAGUAUCCGAAAGUUCCAGCAAUCCUCGUCUCAAUGGAGCCUUUCCCCUCCGGUGCAAGACGCACAAGACCGAAAUCCGACACCUUUGCUCUCAUAUCAUCUCCAAGAAGAAUGUUGGAAGGCUUUAAAUCUCUAUGUAUGAAGCUUUGAUGUGCCAAACCAUGAAGGUAUUCAACCCCCCUCGCAACAUCCAACGCUAUGGUCAACCUCCUAGUCCAUUCCAAUGGUCUCAAUCCUUCUUCAGCCCAGUUGAACAGAUGGCUGCUAAGUGUUCCUUGCGGCAUGUACUCAUAAACAAGAAGCUUUUCAUUGCCAUCAAUGCAGUAACCAAGCAAUGCCACAAGGUGACGGUGCCUGACUUUGGUCAACACAGCGAUUUCCGACUUGAACUCACCGAUUCCCUUCCCAGUUAUAACUCCUGACUCCAUUCUUUUCACAGCAAUCUUCGUUCCAUCAUGCAACUCGCCUUUGUACACCACGCCAAACCCUCCUGCACCUAAAAUGUUCUUCUCACUGAAAUUAUCUGUAACAUUCUUCAGGACUUGAAUGGAAAUCACCAUGUUCCCCGCUUCAAUCAUCUGAAUCUCGCCAUGCUGAUGAUCGCUCGUUGUUCCUAUCAUAUGAGUCUCGCUGAGUGCUCCAACAUUGACACUAGAUCCGGCAACCGUAAUUUUCACACUCUCGUUAUCCGAACCGGAAUGGCGAGGAUGAACCACCAUCACGUUGGGGCUUUGAACUCUAGUAAACCUCUUCUGUUUCCUUUGGUACACACAAAAGACCAACACUGCAAUAAGGAAUAUUAUGAACACACCACCAAUGACUGAAAACACAAUCACCCCAACCAUGGAAGAUGAUUUCUUCUUGCCACCAUUUCCAUCACUUCCCGAACCACCAUCACCGGAUGCUGCUUGACCUGUCGAUGGCGAUGAACCAGCUGGAGACAAACUACUAGCAUCCUUUCCUAUAUCUUUGUUCCCAUCCGUUUUCAAAUCCACUCCAUUCUUAAAGCUUGGAACUUUACCAUAAAUGUGAUUGUUUGCAACGUCAACUUCCUUCAGCAUUGGCAAGGAAGCAAGCUCCUUUGGAAUCGUCCCUGUCAAGUUAUUAUCAGCAAGAACCAAUCUUUGCAACGAAGUAAGCAAAGCAAAGUCUGGAGAUAUAGUCCCCAAAAGACCCAUCUUCUGGAAAUUAACAACAGUAAUGUUGUCACCACUGCAAGAAAUCCCAAGCCAAUCAGCACAAGGAUCAUUCCCCUUCCAUUUCUCAGCAAGCCUUUGAGGAUAACCCAUAGGUCUCACAAUCGAAAGCAAUACAUUAACCCUCGAAUCGCAUUGUCCCGGUGUUGGCAAGCAGAAGCUGUUGGAAUCCUUCACCAUAUCCACAGCAACCGAGCUCUUGAACUCAGGAGCAGGCCCUUGUAACAAGUUAUUAGUCAAAUUCACCGCCUUUAACGAUUCCAACCGAGUCAAGGAAUCCGGGACAGGUCCAGUAAACGAAUUAUCCCUCAAGCUCAACUUUUCCAAGCUCGUCAACCCACCAAAAUCAGGCAAGGGACCCGAGAAGCCAUUAUCAUGUAACCAAACUUCUUUCAAAGAGGUCAUGUUGUGCAACAAGUCAACACUCCCAGUCAACUUACCCUGACUCUUCUGCCCGUUAAGCCACAAGGACUCAAUCGGCGAACCACCGGAAGCAACACCAUCAGGCAAAACACCCUCCAAGCUAUUAAACGCUAAAUGAAGAAUAACCAAACCAGGGAAAGCAUCAGGAUUGAAGAAAAAACCCGGGAUUGACCCGGAAACGUUGGCGGAAUUAGCAGAGAAAUUCUGCAGCGAAGAAGCAUCUUUCACACUUUCCGGGACUUCCCAGCUGGCAAAGGGAUUGUUGUCGAUUUCCACAGCCUGAAGAGAUGAUAAACCACGGAAGAAUUCGGCGGGGAUUGAAUCGAAGAGGUUGUCACUUAGCAUCACGACCUGGAGUGACCCGAGUCCGCUUAGAGUGGGGAGAGGACCCGAAAUGCUGUUCGAUUGAAGCUCCAGCCUUUCGAGCUGGGUGAGAUUUUGAAGAUCUGGUGGGAGAGUGCCUUUGAGCUGCUGGUGGCCGAUUUGGAUGCGGCUGACCCGGUUGUCGACGUCGGAGCAGCCGACGUGGUCCCAUUUGCAAGGAUCCGGGUCGGACCAUCCGAGUGUGGCUGGAGGGUUUAGGGACUUCUUGAGAGCAAACAUUGCUGGGGCAUCUUGUGUUAAGGAGCUUGCCGGUACAGAAAGUAGAGAUAGUAACAAAACCAGGUGGAAGAGCUUGCAGGGAUACCUCUUCUUUCUCAUCAUCAUGAAGAGACAGAGGUUUGAUUAGAGGAGAGUGAUUGGGGAAAAGGGAGGAGAAAAGUUGGGGUCUUGGGGAUGUUUUGGGGAUGGGAAGAGGAGUAUGCAGAAAUGGGCUGAAAAGGUGCUGUAAUUGAGGAGGAAAGCACAUGGAUGAAAGAAGAAGGAAGAAGAUGAAUGAAGAUGGUGGUGGUGGCCCGACAGAGUUUUCAGAAUAUAAAGCUGUCAUGUAAGUAACAUGGUUUUUAUUAUUAUUAUUAUUAUUUGUUUCUGUAAAACUGUGUCGAUCAUCUUUUGCUUGCAUGGUGGUUUGUAUUGAUUGAGGCUCAAGUUUAUGCCAUUUUUAUAGUCUGUUGUGUUCGCAUGUAAGAAGAUAUCCAAACAAGGACCUAUUUGGAUGUUGUGAUGAACUGAUGAUGGUGUUGUGAUGUGAGCACCCUUUGUGCACCAGAGUCGCGGGUUUUCGAUAAGGUUGAGAAGAGUUGGACCUCGAUGAUGUACCAGUUUCUGGAUUUUUUGUGCUCUUUUUUUCAUAGCUUUAUAGAAAAUGAAAAGGAAGAGGAGGAAAAGAAGAAAAUCCCACUGGAGUUUGGCUAGAUUGCAUGGACGUAUUAUUCUACAGCUCGCGAGCUUCCAACUUCGAAUGAGAAAAGAAGCUCCUAGUGGACGCUUGCACACAGAACCAGCUUUUCUUUAUGAUCAUCAUCUUCCACUUAUCUCUUUCCUUUUCCAGAUCUUUAUUCAAACAACAAGCAGAUAUUUGGUAAGGGGUCAGGUGGGUCAAAAAAACCAGACUUAAUGGGUUGGUCAAUGAGGAUUGAGUUCACAUAGCUGCUUUAGCUGCUUAACCCUUUCAACAAUCGAUUUGAUUAUGUUACGGUUAAUAAUUUCUUGCAGGAGAAAUCAAGAUAAAUAGCAAACACAAAAUAAAUUGAAGAUUAAAUAAAUUUGUGAGAUAGGUCUCAAUACAACCUGAGAGAUAUAAAAGGGUACGACGACGCGCUACAAAAUGGGCAACCCCAUUUGCUGACUGACAUCUCGAUUCGAGGGCAUGCUGUCAAAAAGGCGAGAAUGUGGCUCCACCAGCCGUACAGUGAAUAGUCCGCUAUGAUAGACGGUAGAGGACCAGUUUCGCGUCAUUUUCUAUGUCCACCUGUCAAGUUUCUUAUUGGAAGCAACAUGAACAUGCAUCACGGACAUUGAGGAGCUCCAAAACAUAAUCGUCAGGUAGUCUUGAAUAUGUUUAACAUAGAGCUCCAAAUCUGGACCACCAUUUCACCAGUCACUUCGUAGCUUAAUUGACCACCCUGACCGAAAUGAGUCUCAACCAAACUAACGGUUAAAUCCAAAACAAAUAGUUAAUUGGUUGUAACCGAAAACCAGAACAGUUCUCUACUGCUAACAUUUGUCUUGUUUUUUUCUAUAGUAAUGUGAACUUCGAAUCUAUAUCACUGUUCAUUGUUUAUUACAGCAUGUCAUUGAAUGAAUCCUGUGGCCUGUUUAAAUGAGGGAGGGACCUGAAUUUCGCACAGGAAUAAUGCACAUUUAGACGUAUAGGUCCAGGCACAAACAACAUGUUACAAUCUACAAAGUACAAACAACAACAGAGAGCCAACAGUCUGAGGAGAUUCUUAUGUCGUCAUAGUAGUUUUUCCUCGCUAUCUUCAUACUCGUACUCAUAAUCAUCGUCGGAGUCUUCGUCGUAAUAUUCUUCCUCGUCAUCCUCAUGGCUCUUUAAUCGCUCUUGAAUUCUGUCUCUAAUGGCUGUCCCCUGCGACAUGACGACCCAAUCAAAAUGGUUAUAAUUCGCUUGGACUGGACAUGAUCUAUAUGACGCUAGAGCCGUCUUGUUAUUGGCAUAAAGAGCAGAGAGUUCAGAACCUAGACACAGAACCUAGAAUUUCAUUUAGCUUCUUUCAUGUUCCUUAAGGGUCUAGGUAGAAGAGAACACUAACCAUUUUAUGGCAUCCUUCCUCAAACAUCUCAAGAAACCCAGCAACCAAUCGAUCAGCAUUCAAGACCCAUUCGUUACGUUGCAUUGCCACCGUUUGAAUCUGAAGGGUUAAAGACAUACAGAGGAAGCAUUUAGAGAAAUAAGAACUCAACUGGAUAGCAAAUGAUUUAUCAAAGCAACAAAUGAGAAGUAAAUGCAGAGGAAGCGCAUAUUUUUCAAACAUGCACAAUUCUAACAAAGAAACAUCAUGCCUCUAAAGGUUCAGAUGAAUCCAAGGAAACAAUUUUACAACUUUUACCAUCCCGAAACAUCAAAUGAUCUUUGAUUCAGUAAUCAUGGCAGCCAUUUAACGAGAAAAGGCAAGCAAAGGAGCGUAAGGUUUCGGGAGAGGGAGAAGAAGAAAAACGCACCCUUUCUCCAACUUUCUCUUGUUGCUCUUUCACUUUCUCUUGUAGUUUCUUCAAUCUCAUGUUGACCCUCAGUCGCUUUUCCUGCUCAACAAGAAAUGAGUAAAAAUUGUUAGACAGUUUGAUUACGCAACACACUGUCAUGACCAAGGAGUUCCAGUAAACUCGUACCUUUACAUAGCUUACACCAAGUUCCUUCCUCGUAUAUCCUCGGUCCAGAUUUCGGAGAACAUACUGAUUGUAGUCUUUAAGAAUCUUCAUUAUGAUAUCAGAUGUCGAGAUCCCAUCAGUUCUUUUAGUCUCUUUAAAUCUCCCAACUUUUUUCACCUGACAUAGAGCCACCACAAACAUCAUAUCAUCUCAUCUGUUCGUGGAACAAAACCUUUGUUUGUGAUGCAAUACGAUGCAGGAUGGACAAAAAACUGUAGCUUUCGACUUACAAACUCAUAAACAUCAUUCCCACCUCCACUUGCAUCGGCAUAUCUACACACACAAGCAAUUAGACAUGGAGCUUAACCAUCAUCUAGAGUUCACAUAAUCCAUCAAACCAUACCAGCCAACUGAAUUCUCCUUAUUACUUUAACCAAAUCAAACUGAAGCUAAGGUUGAAGAAUAGAAGAGAAACAUACGGUAAGGCAUCGUGAGCAACAUAAUCAAUCUUGUGUUUGUCAAGAAACUCCUGAUCGAUUACCCAAGGUGCAUCAGUAAUGACUUCAUCCACCCACCUACAAUCAAAUCCAACACGGAGAGCCUUACUUCAACAUUCGAAUCACAUUUCCAAAAACCAUAAAAACAGUUACGAUCCAUUACUUGCAGUGGCGAAGAGAUUCGUAGCGCUCAGCUGCGGUCAUGACAGUUUUCCCCUUGUACUUGUGAGUAGUUUCGUCAUUGCAACAUCCAACGAGUAGAUACGAAUUUGGAAACCUUGCGGUCCAAACACUUUGAAAAUCAAAUCCACAGAGCUAGAAGCAGAGAGGGAGAGAGGAAAGGCCCGGGAGAAAAGUAAACUAACGAUUUCUUGGCUUGCUCGAGGGAGCGAGCGUGGCCGAAGUGGAAGAGAUCGUAGAUCCCGUCGGCGUAGACGCGUACAGGCUUGUCGGAGGGCAUCGGUUGAUCGGAAUUGCCGGCGCCGUUGGUUGAGGAUGGAUCGGGAGGGUUUCGAGACGGGGAAGAGACAGCUAUAUUGCCGCUCGAGUUCUGCGCGCCAUCCAUCGGAUGGAAAUCUCCGGAGAAUGGAAUAACUAAUGUACAGCUCCGUCAACGGCCGUGUCCGAUCUGACUGGACUGUGCUUCAUUCGCGUUCUAGUUAAGUCAUAAGUGUGCCGUCCGCGUAGUUCCCGCGUAUAUGUAUCUGCAUUGUGAUUCUCAACUGUCAGAUUUAAUCAUCACAAUCUGACGGUUCAGAACUAAGGGCUAAAUUUGGAAAUUCAUCCCUCAACCUUUUUUAACUAUUACUAUCACUGAUCAACUAUUAACCUUAAUUUCUUCAUGAAAAUGAUUGCUAAGUUGAAACAUGUCUACACUUUUAAUACUCGAGUAUAUCUUGAAUCUAACUUGAAUAUUGUUACGUACAAUUUGAAGUUUCCUAUAAUUAUAACAUCUUAUGAUCGCAAGUGAAUUAAACUUCAUGGUGUGAACUGUCGAGUAGCCAAGCUCAAAAACUGCGGUGGUCCAAGCGAGUCUAAAGGUACUGAUCCUGGAUUGGGAAGCACUGAGAGUGGAGCCACAUCAGUAUAUAGUUGGCGUUCAUAAGUAAAAUCGAGCUUUUAUUUCGCUCGAAUUUGGCAACCGGUAUUCAAAGUAAAGAGCUCUUCAACGUAAAAAAAAAAAAGAACUACGAUACCCUCAUACAUAUUCUCUUCCACCCAAACUUAUAAAGAAAAUUAAUACUGAAUAGUGAUGGUAAUCUCAUUUUAUAUUGUUUUGGUUCGUCGGUACAAAUAUGUAUACAUGAUUGGAUGUUAGGAACUUAGGAUGGUACUUGUCUUUCCAAUAUUUAAAUAUUUCAACCACGUGUUUGGACAUUGUGUAAUGGUAACUCGUUAUCAUCAAUUUGAAGAACUUUCUUCAAAUUAAGUUUGUAAGAAAAAUUGAUGGUGACCAAUGAGGCAUCGAAUAUAAAACCUAAUAUGCCUAUUCUUGCUAAAAGACGAUAAGAAGAAUAUUAUAAGUUGAAAGUGUAGAUUAAGUAAAGAUUGUUCGAGUGGAAUUGCUCCGAUAAAAGAUUGUGUGUUUGGUGAUCCAGAGGUUUCGAGUUCGAAUUUAACACAUCUCACGAAAAAAACAUCUAUUAUAUUUUCUAUUUUAUAAUAAUCGAGAGUCUCGAUGCGUUUUUCGACUAAAAAAAGUAUAUUAAGUAAAGAUUAGGGGGAAAGUUAGCAUAAUUCACUUUUCGUAGAGGAUAAUUAUUAUCUUUAUUGCCCCCCCUUAUCUCACGCCUACCACUCCCACAUUCAUCUCCCCUAGCAGUGCACUCUCCGUACGUCCGAAAUAGAUCGGGUGCAUGCGUCUCCCUAGUUGAUCGCCACCGUCGCCGGCCAGCCUGCAUAUGCCGAGGCAGAUGUGAUUUCAGCUCUUAUUAUUAUUCAUCAGACCCUUAAUCUCUGCCGCAAAUUGAUAACAGAAUCCAUACAUCUCUCUCACUGAUAAUUGUAGCCACGUCAGCGGAUUCUUUUCCGAUUGAAACCUAAUUAGGGUUUAGGGUUUUAUAUGGUUGGUUGAAGGACAGAAGCCCAAUGGUUUAAAUGCCAUUUGUCGUUUCGUUUAGAAGGUCCAAUAGCAAUCAUUUUGAGGUUCUUUAUCAUUACUGAGUGACAGACUCAUUGGUCCCUCCUUACCUGUCCUGACCUAUCUGUCACAGCAAGAAGUAGUUCGACCGCUCAACCUAUCAAGUUCAGCAAUCGUAGGUGCUUGCAUCCUAGUCCUUCAUCAUUAGCGACCAUGAUCAUGCCUAGUUUAAUCACUAGUUACUAAUUAACCAACACUUGACCAUUGCGUUUACUAUGUUAUCUACCCUACACGCCUACGCUAUGCACUACCACGAGUGGAAAAUGAUAGGGUUAUCAAUGGCAACUAUAACAUGUUUAAGCCGUGCCUUUCUUACAAUUACAACCAAAAAAAAUUAAACUAUUAUUAUAUGAAUAAAUCAUCUCCACGUUUUUUAAAAUUCUGGACUAUUAUUUCACCUUUAAUGAACACAGGGUUUUUAAGACAAUGAUCUCAAACUUGUUAUAUAUAGGAUAAUAUAUAAUAAUUAAAAAAAGUCAAAAUUUAUGAUACAUUCCUACAAAUAUUUGUAUAAGAAGGAUCGACGAGAGAUGGAUGCUCAGGUAGUCGUUAAUGUGGUUCACGCGUAUGUCGAGUUGACCAAGUUGGAAUUUUGGAACAUCAUCAAUAGGAUAUCUUGUUGUCUAAACCGUUUUAUUCUAUUAGGUUUGUGAAGAUGAAUCGUAACCAGGUUGCGCAUGUGCUUAUAAAACAAUCGAAGUUUAUGUUGUCGUCCAUUGUUGGGGACUGGGGAAUGUCUCUUUUUUUCUUUGAUGCUGGUUUAAGCAAUGAAAAUUGAUCAUUAAUACAUGAGUACACCUUUGUUGUAAACAAACAAAAAUCGAAAUAGAGUCGCACUUGGUUCUGUAUGCCGCAGCUCAUGUCCGUCAUAAAUUAGUUCAUUAAUACAUCGAACUUAGAUCAAAUCUAAAUUUCCACAUACUCCUCCAAUUAUAUGUACAAAAUAAAAGCUAACAUAGACUAUAGAAUACAUCAAGAAAGAAAGAAAGUAAAGAAAAAUCAUCGUAAAUUUAUUAAAAUUUUAAAUUACCAAAACAAGUAAGAAGCUUCAGCCGCCAGCCUUCUAGAAGUUAAUAAUAAAAACUAACAAGGGUAAAAAGGUAAAUACCAAAAUAGAAGAAAGAAGAAACAAAUUUGGCUUGUUUUUUUUAAAAUGUUUCCUAAUAAUGGGAAAACGGAGAAAGUGUAGGUAACACGGCAUUUACAUUGGUCAAAUGAUGGUUGUAACUAAAAAAACGACAAAAGUCUGCCCGCCUAACUUUACCCUCUCUCUUUCUCUCUCCUCAAUACAAGAAACCACUUCCCCUGUUCUCAUUGGUACCCGACGGCGGAGCUCCUCCGGUCUGGUCCCCCGCCGAUGCCUCCCCGGGAAGAAGCAACAGAUGAGGAUUAUCCGACGCCGUAUUGCUAUUAGUAGGACCACCGUCGCUAAUGCUAUUAUUAUUUCCUAACGAAAACAAGAAUGGCGACGGCGAUUGAAACUGCGGCUGGUACUGCUGCAAAUGUUGAAACCCUCCUCCUCCACCUCCGCUACCGUCUGCCGUGGACAUGGCGGCGUUUGGGAUUUGAUUACCGAUCAGCUGGUGCGUCGCUAGCUGUUGCUGGCGUCCAGGGACUGGAGAGUUAUUAUUGAGCAGGCCGUAGGUGAAACCGGGUAGAUUCAGCGACGACGAUCCUCUACCGACCGACGUUCCGAACGAUCCGACAGGGCCGCCGGCGAACUGCUGGNNN
rnacentral:lncRNA from 1 species